rnacentral:rRNA from 1 species
UGGCGGACGGGUGAGUAACGCGUGGGUAACCUGCCUCAUACAGGGGGAUAACGAUUGGAAACGAUUGCUAAUACCGCAUAAGCGCACAGUACCACAUGGUACAGUGUGAAAAACUCCGGUGGUAUGAGAUGGACCCGCGUCUGAUUAGGUAGUUGGUGGGGUAACGGCCUACCAGGCCGACGAUCAGUAGCCGACCUGAGAGGGUGACCGGCCACAUUGGGACUGAGACACGGCCCAG